UUCAACCUGAGAGUUUGAUCCUGGCUCAGAACGAACGCUGGCGGCAGGCUUAACACAUGCAAGUCGAACGCCCACCUUCGGG
rnacentral:rRNA from 1 species